GGUCUGGGAAGCCAACUAAGAGAGCUAAAGAGGAAUCGGGGCUACAAGAAGUUGUUGAAAAUGGAGCAGAUUGUCGUACAGACCAAGAAUAGCUUGACGCCACUCAUGUGAUUUGGCAGACAUUUUGCAUUGGCUAUCCUUUGUAGUCUUGACCUCAGCCCUGAAGUUGUCAAAGGUGAGCGUGAUGAGGCCACAGUCACAGCUAUAGCUUAUGAGCAUGCAGACAGCUGAGCCAGAUGCUGAUUUCCCCUAAAGAAGCUGUUUUGGCUCCUUUCAUUAGAGGAUUUCAGCCAACCAAGAAAAAGACUCUGAAGAAAGCAGGAGGAAGAAACAGGUCUCAUUCAAAAAGACCCUUUUCAGGGAUUUAUGGGAGAUGGAAGGCAUAUGCAAUGAAUGUGGGUUUCUUUGGUGAACAAAACUUUGGGGAAAAAAGACAUUUUAAAAUACUGCUUAAAAAUUGUUAUGAAAAAUUUAAAGCUUGCAGUAAAGUUGAAAAAUUGUUCAAUGAAUAACAACAUAUUCAGCAUUUACACUUGACAAUUGACAGUGUUUUUCUGAAUCUGCUCAAUCCAUCUAUCUGACUAUCUUCACCAUGUUUAUUCAAAGCCACUUACAAGUCUGCAUUUUAUCUUUAAGUUCCCUGGUAUGCAUCUCCAGAAGUUGUCAAGGAC
rnacentral:lncRNA from 1 species